rnacentral:rRNA from 1 species
UAGGGAAUCUUCCACAAUGGACGCAAGUCUGAUGGGGCAACGCCGCGUGAGUGAAGAAGGUCUUCGGAUCGUAAAACUCUGUUGUUAGAGAAGAACACGAGUGAGAGUAACUGUUCUUGUAUUGACGGUAUCUAACCAGAAAGCCACGGCUAACUACGUGCCAA